CGGGUGAGUAAUGUCUGGGAAACUGCCUGAUGGAGGGGGAUAACUACUGGAAACGGUAGCUAAUACCGCAUAACGUCGCAAGACCAAAGUGGGGGACCUUCGGGCCUCAUGCCAUCAGAUGUGCCCAGAUGGGAUUAGCUAGUAGGUGGGGUAAUGGCUCACCUAGGCGACGAUCCCUAGCUGGUCUGAGAGGAUGACCAGCCACACUGGAACUGAGACACGGUCCAGACUCCUACGGGAGGCAGCAGGC
rnacentral:rRNA from 1 species